rnacentral:rRNA from 2 species
GCUCAAAUUUGAAAUCUCACAGGGUUACCUGUGCGAAUUGUAGUUUAUAGAAACGCUUUCGGGGGUGGCUCUGGCAUAAGUCCUUUGGAAUAAGGCAUCAUAGAGGGUGAGAAUCCCGUUUAUGGUCAGGUGUCCGCUCCUAUGUGAUGUGUUUUCUAAGAGUCGGUUUGUUUGGGAAUGCAGACCAAAAUGGGUGGUAAAUACCAUCUAAAGCUAAAUAUUGGCGAGAGACCGAUAGCGAACAAGUACCGUGAGGGAAAGAUGAAAAGAACUUUGAAAAGAGAGUUAAAAGUACGUGAAAUUGUCAAAAGGGAAACGCUUGAAACCAGUAUUGCGUUCAGGUAAUCAGCCGUUCCUUCUGGGACGGUGCACUUGCCUGCUUGCGGGUCAACAUCAGUUUGGUUCGGGAUAAAAAGCCUUGAGAAGGUAGCCCCUCGGGGUGUUAUAGCUCAAGGUCAUGUCUCGGGCUGGACUGAGGUCUGCAGUGUUAUUUGGGUAGCCAGUCGCCUCUCGAAACCCUGUUAUAGACAGCAUGCUGACUAUGACUUGGUCUAGGGAGCACGGUUGGGAUUCCACACCAACACUUAGGAUGUUGACGAAAUGGUUUCAAACGACCCGUCUUGAAACACGGACCAAGGAGUCUAACAUAUAUGCGAGUGUUUGGGUGGCAAACCCUUACGCGGAAUGAAAGUGAACUUAGGUGGGAUCUUCGGUGCACCAUCGACCGGUCUGGAUUUUUUUGAUAGAUCUGAGUAAGAGCAUAUCUGUUGGGACCCGAAAGAUGGUGAACUAUGCCUGAAUAGGGUGAAGCCAGAGGAAACUCUGGUGGAGGCUCGUAGCGAUUCUGACGUGCAAAUCGAUCGUCAAAUUUGGGU